UUUAAAUCCUUUAACGAGGACCUAUUGGAGGGCAAGUCUGGUGCCAGCAGCCGCGGUAACUCCAGCUCCAAUAGCGUAUAUUAAAGUUGUUGCGGUUAAAAAGCUCGUAGUUGGAUUCGUGUCUCGGCGGGGUGGUGCGUUGGCCAAAUCGGUUCGACGCACUGCCUUGGAAAUUCAYUUUUCGUACGCCGGACAGAUUGCCGGGUUGGAGGCGAAAGAGGGAUGCGGAAUCGGGGCAACYCGGUUUCGUACUUUCUUUUUUCGUCCUCUUGCUCGGGGUGCUCUUAACCGGGUGUCCCGAGUGACCGGCACGUUCACUUUGAACAAAUUAGAGUGCUCAAAGCAGGUUACAUACACGCCUGAAUAUAACAGCAUGGAAUGAUGGAAUAGGACCUCGGUCUUAUUUUGUUGUUUUAUUCUUUAGACCAGAGGUAAUGG
rnacentral:rRNA from 1 species